CCCCACCCUCUGCCGGGCCCCCUUCCCCGACCCCCACAAACUGGCCCACUGGCGCUGCCCCGAGCUGGAGGCGCAGGUGGCGGCCAUGCUGGGGCUGGUCCGGGCCGUGCGGGGGCUGCGCGAGACCUUCCGGCUCGGGGGGGCCGCCCGCCCCCCAGUGCUGGUGCAAUGCCCGGAGCCGGCUUUGGGAUUGGCUGGGCUGCCG